CUGGCUCUCCAACUCCGCAAGCUUUGCAAGGACAGUUGAAAUGCUAGUUUGGAUCAUGGGAUCCUCACGCUUUUAAAUACUCAUAUUUUUUAUGCUCGGUAAAUAUAUUUUUGCUGGCUUUUGCACACACUGCAACUAGGUUCCUUGAGCCUGUUGAGAUCAGAUAGCCAAUCCUGGGUCCCAAUAUGGUGCUAAAGCCUGCCCUGCUGCUAGUUUCAAGUUCAGAUAUAGAUAUGCUAGCCAUAAGAGAUUGGAUAAUCGCGCUACUAAGAUGGCAACAACCUGCUUUUCUCCUGAAGAGUUCAGAAGUGAAUCCAUUCUCUGCUGAGAAACUCUUUACUAACGAAC
rnacentral:lncRNA from 1 species